rnacentral:rRNA from 1 species
AUUGAACGCUGGCGGCAGGCCUAACACAUGCAAGUCGAGCGGAUGAAGGGAGCUUGCUCCUGGAUUCAGCGGCGGACGGGUGAGUAAUGCCUAGGAAUCUGCCUGGUAGUGGGGGAUAACGUCCGGAAACGGGCGCUAAUACCGCAUACGUCCUGAGGGAGAAAGUGGGGGAUCUUCGGACCUCACGCUAUCAGAUGAGCCUAGGUCGGAUUAGCUAGUUGGUGGGGUAAAGGCCUACCAAGGCGACGAUCCGUAACUGGUCUGAGAGGAUGAUCAGUCACACUGGAACUGAGACACGCUCCAGACUCCUGCGGGAGGCAGCAGUGGGGAAUAUUGGACAAGGGGCGAAAGCCUGAUCCAGCCAUGCCGCGUGUGUGAAGAAGGUCUUCGGAUUGUAAAGCACUUUAAGUUGGGAGGAAGGGCAGUAAGUUAAUACCUUGCUGUUUUGACGUUACCAACAGAAUAAGCACCGGCUAACUUCG